rnacentral:rRNA from 1 species
UACGUAGGGUGCGAGCGUUAAUCGGAAUUACUGGGCGUAAAAGCGUGCGUAGGCGGUUCGUUAAGUUCGUUGUGAAAGCCCCGGGCUCAACCUGGGAACUGCAAUGGAAACUGGCGGGCUUGAGUGUGGCAGAGGGGGGUGGAAUUCCGCGUGUAGCAGUGAAAUGCGUAGAGAUGCGGAGGAACACCGAUGGCGAAGGCAGCCCCCCUGGGCCAACACUGACGCUCAGGCACGGAAAGCGUGGGGAGCAAACAGG